UGUCGAAUAUAUUCAUAUUCUUCACAACAAUGAAACUCUUAGAAAUUGUAGUAAUCAUGAAAAUCAACGCUUUUAUUUUGUGUUUCCUUUGUGGAUUGUUUCUUUUAUCUGUUGUGGCAAGUGAGACAUCCAAAGAAGGUUAUGCAAAAGACUCAAAGAAAAAUGUUUGGGUAGAUAAGCUUGAUGGUACCCAAAGAACCAAGGAUAUAAAACCUUUUG